UACGUAGGGGGCAAGCGUUGUCCGGAAUUAUUGGGCGUAAAGAGCGUGUAGGCGGCCAGAUAAGUCCGCUGUGAAAUCUCGAGGCUCAACUUCGAGCUGUCGGUGGAAACUAUCUGGCUAGAGUCCGGAAGAGGAGAAUGGAAUUCCUGGUGUAGCGGUGAAAUGCGCAGAUAUCAGGAAGAACACCCGUGGCGAAGGCGGUUCUCUGGGACGGUACUGACGCUGAGACGCGAAAGCCGUGGGGAGCGAACAGG
rnacentral:rRNA from 1 species